ACCAAAACUAUUGUCGAUCUCCAGUUGGUUCAGAGCAAUGAGGUUGGAGGAAGCUCCCAUAUGGAGAAGGAAGGCCUGAAGAGGAGCCUGGCAUUGUUGGAUGCACGUGGUGUAACCAUCGAUAGCAUCGUCACUGACCGUCAUCCACAAAUCCAGAAAUUUCUGAGGGCCAACAACAUCACUCAAUUUUAUGACGUCUGGCACAUGGAGAAAGGAAUUACAAAGCAACUACAUAAAAUUAGCAAAACCAAGGACUGCCAGAAAGUAAAGACGUGGAUGCGAGCCAUCAGAAACCACAUCUAUUGGGCGGCGGCAUCGUCAAUAACCGGGCCGGAGAGAGUGGCAAAAUGGACCUCCCUCCUGAACCAUGUUCAGGAUAUUCAUACUCAUGAUGAUCCCCUCUUCCCAAAAUGUCUACAUCCAAUUCGCAGCACAACGGACAAGAGUAGAUGGCUCUCAGGAGGUUUGUCUCAUUCUCUUUUCAAAACUGGUUUGACUAUAUUGAUUAGCUGCAAGUCCAGUCAUUACCAAUAAGUAGGAUAUAAUGU